CGCGAUGUGGUCCAGGGAAGGACGCCUGCUUCGGGAGCAGGAGAACGCAGGUUCGAGUCCUGUCAUCGCGA
rnacentral:tRNA from 1 species